ACUCCUACGGGAGGCAGCAGUGGGGAAUAUUGCACAAUGGGCGAAAGCCUGAUGCAGCAACGCCGCGUGAGGGAUGACGGCCUUCGGGUUGUAAACCUCUUUUAGUAGGGAAGAAGCGAAAGUGACGGUACCUGCAGAAAAAGCACCGGCUAACUACGUGCCAGCAGCCGCGGUAAUACGUAGGGUGCGAGCGUUGUCCGGAAUUAUUGGGCGUAAAGAGCUCGUAGGCGGUCUGUCGCGUCUGCUGUGAAAACCCGAGGCUCAACCUCGGGCCUGCAGUGGGUACGGGCAGACUAGAGUGCGGUAGGGGAGAAUGGAAUUCCUGGUGUAGCGGUGGAAUGCGCAGAUAUCAGGAGGAACACCGAUGGCGAAGGCAGUUCUCUGGGCCGUAACUGACGCUGA
rnacentral:rRNA from 1 species